UGGAGCACCGGCCGGGAGAAUUAACUCUUUGAAGAGCGGGGAGCUGUUAGGAAGCACAUAGCCCCAAAUGCAGCGACGGAACAGCUCCGGCACUUCUCUCCGCCGCACCCACGUUUCCUAGGGGCUUCUGGUUUCACCGCUCGGUUUCCAGGUUCGCACAGCGCGUCCCAAUAAGCCACGCUUCAGGAGGCCUUUUCGUUUUAACCCCGGACUGGAAAACAACUCGGCACACGCUUCCCCCUCCCACGAGAGCGGCAGCCUCGCUCCCCCAGCCUUCCCGCACUAGCUGGGAUGGAGCACGAACCUUCAGCUCUAUCACGCGAAAAAGCUCCCGAGCUUUUUGGGAUGGGAAUGUCCGCGGCAGCAGAGCUGAGCCCGGCCGCAGUUUCACGGCUAAACGCGGAGCGGCUCUUCCUUUCGUGGAGCGACUUCUCUUUAGGGUAUUGCCAUUUCCCAAAACACGUCUGUCUAGAAACAGAACUGGGGUGGUUGCAUGAACUCGUCGUCCAAUACACGGUUGUGAAAUCGUUCAUGUCCCGCUCGCAACCGCGGCUACAUCACGGAAACGGGGGAAAUGCCGGUGGAAAAAAACGUAACUGUUUCGGAAAUCAGAUCGUGUUUAUUCCCGGAGAAAAAGCAACAUCAAACUGGUAGCCUAUUCCAAAUGCGCCUACAGGGAGACGAAUGUUACAUCCUUUCACACCAUCCAGGAGCUGACAUUUCUCGUUUAUACAUUGACAGGGCUCGGGAGCUUUUAACAGGUCGAUGCUCAUGUAUAUAAAUAUAAAUACAAAUACAUUUCCAUU